rnacentral:rRNA from 1 species
GACGAACGCUGGCGGCGUGCUUAACACAUGCAAGUCGAGCGAUGAAGUUUCUUCGGAAAUGGAUUAGCGGCGAACGGGUGAGGAACACGUGAAGAAUCUGCCCUCCACUUUGGGAUAACACCGGGAAACCGGUGCUAAUACCGAAUAUUGAAACAUAAGUGGCAUCACUGAGUUUUGAAAGAAUUUCGGUGGAGGAUGACUUCGCGGCCUAUCAGCUAGUUGGUGAGGUAAUGGCUCACCAAGGCAACGACGGGUAGCCGGCCUGAGAGGGCGACCGGCCACACUGGGACUGAGACACGGCCCAGACUCCUACGGGAGGCAGCAGUGGGGAAUAUUGGGCAAUGGAGGAAACUCUGACCCAGCGACGCCGCGUGCGGGAUGAAGGCCUUCGGGUUGUAAACCGCUUUCAGUAGGGAAGAAGCGAAAGUGACGGUACCUACAAAAGAAGCACCGGCUAACUAUGUGCCAGCAGCCGCGGUAAUACAUAGGGUGCAAGCGUUGUCCGGAAUUAUUGGGCGUAAAGAGCUCGUAGGUCGUUUGUUACGUCGGAUGUGAAAACCUGAGGCUCAACCUCAGGCCUGCAUUCGAUACGGGCAAACUAGAGUUUGGUAGGGGAGACUGGAAUUCCUGGUGUAGCGGUGGAAUGCGCGAGAUAUCAGGAGGAACACCAAUGGCGAAGGCA